GAAAAAUAGAAAGUUAAGCCCGGUACAUUGCAAUAACUUGCCCAGUUGCAGAGUGGGCCUCCGUUUCUAAGCCCAGCUCCACUGUUAGCUCCUGAAUCUCGGUGUGGCCGCGGCGGCCGAGGCGAGGCGAGAAAUGUCGCCCUCCGUCUCCGCCGCCGUUCUCCGCCGCCUCGGCGACCGGCUCGGCCUCCGCCGACUCGCCACGCUCCCCGACUACGCGGCCGGCGCCGAUGAGCUGCCGCAGCACCCCACCUCCAAGGACGCCUACUUCGCGGCGGUCAACCACCUCUCCACCAUCGUACGGCGCGACUUCUACCUGGAGCGCACCCUGAACCGCCUCCGCCUGCCGUCCCCCUUCCCGCCGGACCUCGCGCUCCGCGUCAUCCGCGCCGCUGCCCCCUCCGAGCCCCUCCACGCCGCCCGCUUCCUCGCGUGGCUCCGGGCGAAGCCCAAUUUCUCCCCCUCCGCCGAUCACUUCGACGCGCUGCUCCUCCCGCUCGCCCGCGCGCGCCUCUUCACCCACCUCUGGACCCAGGCCUCCGACAUGCGCGCGCUCGGCCUCCCCCUCUCUCCGGCAACCUUCUCGGCGGUGAUCUCGUCCUACGGCCACUCCCGCCUCGCCGAGCAGGCCGUCGAGGUCUUCAAUCGCCUUCCCCACUUCGGGUGCCCGCAGACCACCGAGGUCUACAACGCCCUUCUGGACGCGCUCUGCGCCAACGGCAACUUUGCCGGCGCCUACAAGCUGCUCCGCCGCAUGGCGCGCAAGGGCGUGGCCCCCGACCGCGCCACGUUCAGCACGCUCGUCGACGCCUGGUGCGCGUCGGGGAAGCUCCGGGAGGCGCAGGCGUUCCUCGACGACAUGUCGUCCCGCGGGUUCCGGCCGCCGGUGCGCGGCCGGGACCUCCUCGUCGACGGGCUCGUCCGAGCUGGGCGCCUGGAGGAAGCCAAGGCAUUCGCCCUCCGCAUCACCAAGGAGGGCGUCCUUCCCGACGUGGCCACGUUCAACUCGCUCGCCCAGGCGCUUUGCGAUGCUGGUGAUGUGGAAUUCGCCGUGGGUCUUCUUGCCGAUGCUUCCAGUCGUGGCAUGUGCCCAGAUAUCUCAACUUACAAAGUGAUGCUACCGGCCGUGGCCAAGGCUGGCCGAAUUGAGGAGGCAUUCCGAUUGUUCUAUGCGGCUAUUGAGGAUGGCCACCGGCCCUUCCCAAGUCUAUAUGCGGCAAUCGUCAAGGCGCUCUGCAAGGCAGGUCGUUUCGCUGAUGCUUUCGCCUUUUUUGGUGAUAUGAAGUCCAAGGGGCACCCACCCAAUCGGCCUGUGUAUGUGAUGCUUGUCAAAAUGUGUGUGAGAGGUGGUCGGUUCUUGGAUGCUGCAAACUACCUUCUUGAGAUGAGUGAGGCUGGGUUCGCGCCACGGGCGCCAACCUUUAACGUUGUAGUCGAUGGGCUGCGGCAUCUUGGGAAACAUGACCUAGCCCGGAGGAUGGAGCAGCUUGAGAUGUCACUAAAAGGAAACUGAAUGGAUCCGGAAGUAGAUGCGGUCUAGUGGGGCGCUGCGAAUUGCUUGGUAAAGUUUCUGAAUUACUAGGUUGGGCUCCUAUCUUCUAAUUGCAUUUCAUGACAUAGGCCGCCAGUGCUAUGCUGUUGGACUGUGACUGGUAUGCUUGGCAAGUGAUUUAUUUGUUUUCGGUAGGAAGAAUCAAUGAAUAAGGCCAUCAGAUAGCCUCAACUAAUUUGCUCAAAAUUGUGCAGUGUAGGUUCACAAGAAAAGUAGUGGUGGAGUAGGCACUAAGUUCAGAAGAAUUGUUUCAACUUUGCCCUUCGUGAGCAUCAGAUACUCGAUUGGCAUGCAGAAUUUGACUUACCUUACAGUGUCCUAAUACCUUCUGACAAGGAACCAUCCGGGUGCACCCAACGAGAUCAAAGCUGAAUGAACCUAUGUUGUUACAUCAUGUGGCCAGAAUAGCCGGGCAUGCGGUGGCUCGACGUUCACAAGCUGAUUACAGGCUAUUGUGUCUCCUGAACAUACUACUGCAGAACUCAAGAACUCCCCAGUGAUUUGGGGAAGGAAUUUGCCUUGCGUUCGAUGGUCUGCCUUCUGUAUGGCGACAAACUACUGUCACGGCGGUGUUAGUAAGCGUAUGGGCACGACUGCAGAAGGGGGGAAUGCAGAGAUGUUUUGAAAUCAGGAGGUCAGCUAUGAACCUAUGACUGAUCACACCGCUGAGGAAUGCAAAUUCGAGAAGCUGAGGGAGGAGUUGAUGAUGAGAUACAACAUUGUCUUGCAUUUCAUAGACUGGGAAUCGAUUUUUUUUCUUGUGAAAAAACAUUGCUUAAUGUGAAUGUUGCAAUGAACUGAUAUACCUUGUCUUUUUUCCCGACCGAAGGUCUUUUGAAGAUGUAUACAUUGUUCAACUUUCCGUGAUGGAAAUUGUGGGUAAAUUCAGUUGGUCCAAA